rnacentral:rRNA from 1 species
GACGAACGCUGGCGGCGUGCCUAACACAUGCAAGUCGAGCGAGGACUUCGGUCCUAGCGGCGGACGGGUGAGUAACGCGUGGGAACGUGCCCUUUGGUACGGAAUAGCCCCGGGAAGCUGGGAGUAAUACCGUAUGGUGUCUUCGGACUAAAGAUUUAUCGCCAAAGGAUCGGCCCGCGUUGGAUUAGGUAGUUGGUGGGGUAAUGGCCUACCAAGCCGACGAUCCAUAGCUGGUUUGAGAGGAUGAUCAGCCACACUGGGACUGAGACACGGCCCAGACUCCUACGGGAGGCAGCAGUGGGGAAUCUUAGACAAUGGGGGCAACCCUGAUCUAGCCAUGCCGCGUGAGUGAUGAAGGCCCUAGGGUUGUAAAGCUCUUUCAGCUGGGAAGAUAAUGACGGUACCAGCAGAAGAAGCCCCGGCUAACUCCGUG